AAUUUAAAUAGUGCUGAACCGUAGACAGCAGGUGCCCAACAGGCUUAAUUCCCUGCCGAGGUCGUUGAAUUCGAUUUUCUUAAAUGAAGACGAUUCUGCCUCCAUGUCUGCUCUGGCACAUGGAGGCUUUUUAUUUUUAGAA
rfam:Bacillus beveridgei strain MLTeJB, complete genome.